rnacentral:rRNA from 1 species
AGAUUGAACGCUAGCGGGAUGCUUUACACAUGCAAGUCGAACGGCAGCGCGGACUUCGGUCUGGCGGCGAGUGGCGAACGGGUGAGUAAUAUAUCGGAACGUGCCCAGUAGCGGGGGAUAACUACGCGAAAGCGUGGCUAAUACCGCAUACGCCCUACGGGGGAAAGGGGGGAUCGCAAGACCUCUCACUAUUGGAGCGGCCGAUAUCAGAUUAGCUAGUUGGUGAGGUAAAGGCUCACCAAGGCGACGAUCUGUAGCUGGUUUGAGAGGACGACCAGCCACACUGGGACUGAGACACGGCCCAGACUCCUACGGGAGCAGCAGUGGGGAAUUUGGACAAUGGGGGAAACCUGAUCCAGCCAUCCCGCGUGUGCGAUGAAGGCCUCGGUUGUAAGACA